UGAACGCUGGCGGCGUGCUUAACACAUGCAAGUCGAACGAGAAAGUCUUUGCUUGCAAAGACGAGUAGAGUGGCGCACGGGUGAGUAACACGUAGAUAAUCUACCUUCAAGCCUGGAAUAACUGUUCGAAAGGGCAGCUAAUACCGGAUAAAGUUAAUACACAUAAGUUAAUUAAUGAAAGAUUGCCUAUCCUUGGAAGCAAUUGUUUGGAGAUGAGUUUGCGGACCAUUAGUUUGUUGGUGGGGUAAAGGCCUACCAAGACUACGAUGGUUAGCUGGUCUGAGAGGAUGAUCAGUCACACUGGAACUGGAACACGGUCCAGACUCCUACGGGAGGCAGCAGUGAGGAAUUUUGCGCAAUGGGGGAAACCCUGACGCAGCAACGCCGCGUGAGUGAAGAAGGCCUUUGGGUCGUAAAGCUCUGUCAACUGGGAAGAAGUUGUAUAUAUCCAAUAGGUAUGUUCAUUGACGGUACCAGUGGAGGAAGCGCCGGCUAACUCC
rnacentral:rRNA from 1 species